rnacentral:rRNA from 1 species
AGAGUUUGAUCAUGGCUCAGGACGAACGCUGGCGGCGUGCUUAACACAUGCAAGUCGAACGAUGAACCUCCUUCGGGAGGGGAUUAGUGGCGAACGGGUGAGUAACACGUGGGCAAUCUGCCCUGCACUCUGGGACAAGCCCUGGAAACGGGGUCUAAUACCGGAUACGACCACUGAGGGCAUCCUCGGUGGUGGAAAGCUCCGGCGGUGCAGGAUGAGCCCGCGGCCUAUCAGCUUGUUGGUGGGGUGAUGGCCUACCAAGGCGACGACGGGUAGCCGGCCUGAGAGGGCGACCGGCCACACUGGGACUGAGACACGGCCCAGACUCCUACGGGAGGCAGCAGUGGGGAAUAUUGCACAAUGGGCGAAAGCCUGAUGCAGCGACGCCGCGUGAGGGAUGACGGCCUUCGGGUUGUAAACCUCUUUCAGCAGGGAAGAAGCGAAAGUGACGGUACCUGCAGAAGAAGCGCCGGCUAACUACGUGCCAGCAGCCGCGGUAAUACGUAGGGCGCGAGCGUUGUCCGGAAUUAUUGGGCGUAAAGAGCUCGUAGGCGGCUUGUCACGUCGGUUGUGAAAGCCCGGGGCUUAACCCCGGGUCUGCAGUCGAUACGGGCAGGCUAGAGUUCGGUAGGGGAGAUCGGAAUUCCUGGUGUAGCGGUGAAAUGCGCAGAUAUCAGGAGGAACACCGGUGGCGAAGGCGGAUCUCUGGGCCGAUACUGACGCUGAGGAGCGAAAGCGUGGGGAGCGAACAGGAUUAGAUACCCUGGUAGUCCACGCCGUAAACGUUGGGCACUAGGUGUGGGCGACAUUCCACGUCGUCCGUGCCGCAGCUAACGCAUUAAGUGCCCCGCCUGGGGAGUACGGCCGCAAGGCUAAAACUCAAAUGAAUUGACGG